rnacentral:rRNA from 1 species
UAUUUUCCUUUUUUUCCCUCUUUCUCUUUACUACGGAGGAUGCGAGCGUUAUCCGGAUUUAUUGGGUUUAAAGGGAGCGCAGACGGGAGAUUAAGUCAGUUGUGAAAGUUUGCGGCUCAACCGUAAAAUUGCAGUUGAUACUGGUUUCCUUGAGUGCAGUUGAGGCAGGCGGAAUUCGUGGUGUAGCGGUGAAAUGCUUAGAUAUCACGAAGAACCCCGAUUGCGAAGGCAGCUUGCUAAACUGUAACUGACGUUCAUGCUCGAAAGUGUGGGUAUCAAACAGG